rnacentral:rRNA from 1 species
CAGUAGCCGCGGUAAUACGUAGGGUGCAAGCGUUAAUCGGAAUUACUGGGCGUAAAGGGUGCGUAGGCGGUUUGGCAAGUCUUGUGUGAAAUCUUCGGGCUCAACCCGAAGCCUGCACGAGAAACUGCCGGGCUUGAGUGUGGGAGAGGUGAGUGGAAUUCCCGGUGUAGCGGUGAAAUGCGUUGAGAUCGGAAAGAACACCAACGGCGAAAGCACUCUGCUGGGCCGACGUUGACACUGAGAGACGAACGCUAGGGGAGAAAAUGGGAUUAGAUACCCGUGUAGUCCCUGUCUCUUAUAC